GGUCAAAAGAACAUAACAUAUAAUGCCACCCACAUCAGGGAAAAUGAACGCUCUUCAGCAAGAUUGGUUGGUGAAGGUUUCCAAAGACAAUUUUGAAUCCAUCGCCAAAGAUAUACAGAAUUUUGUGAGAAAGAAGGAAAAUCAAGCAUUUGCUUGCAAGUGCCUCCUUACUUGUAGCAAACUAGCCUUCAAUGAGAAGUGCUCGUCUCCAGAUGCUUUGUUCAUUGUGACAAAAGCUUGUUGUGACGCUAUUGUUCUUGAUACAACGGAUCAACAGAAGUUAAUAAAUGCUCUUUAUCACAUCACCAAAUAUCUUUUAGUGGAGAACUUAUUGGAGGAAGCUAUGUUAAUCAGUGAAAAUGUUAUCAAAGUAUGGAAAACAAAAGCAAAUGGCUGGUCUAGUAGCGAAGAAAAUACAGUGAUGGCUUUUCUUCAUAGUUUUUCUAAGCAUUUGAUGAACAUAAAUAUCAUGCAAGAUCUUGACACACUGGUCAGCCUCAAAAAUAAGGCUUCAGCUCUGAAUCUGUGGUCGCACGUAUUAACUCUUUGCCUCAGUCUGAACAGAAAACCUCUCGCAGAUAUGCUGGUUAUUUUGGUCAAUUUAGCCAUAAAAUUCCACAACUUAGAGAAGGAAAAAACAUCUGCUUUUCUCCUUGCUUGUCUACAAAGUCUUUUGACUUUAUCUGAAAAUAUCUCCGCUGAAAAGAUAAAAUUAGACGAACUUGUCCUGAGUCGCAUUUUACAGGUUUAUCGGCGAAUCGUUAUUAAUUAUAUGUCAAUUGAAAAUGGGUCCCAGCUUAGAGAAUCGGUACUGAGUGUGCUAGAUAAGCUAAAAAAAGUAUUCGUUUGUGGUGCAGAGCAAGUGAGCUACAUUCAGUUUUGUGAAAAAAUCGUACAGUUUGUGAACCGAUCCAUGCUUGAUCUAAGUUUAGAUGCAAAGUUGCUGAAAGACUGUCAAACCAUGAUGAAUAAGUGGAGCAAUGAAUCUAAAUUAUCCUAUGAUUCGUCUUAUUUCAUGAAUGGAAUCUUUUUGAAAUUGGGAUCAUCAUGGACUAAGAGGGAACCUAAACUUCCAGGAGUCCUCUUCUCGCCACUGAUUAAGCUCGUCUUGAAAAGUCACAUGUUUCUGGAUGGCAAUCGCAUGGAGAUAUGCUCUGAAAAGUGUGCUAUGAACUGCGAUGAAUCAACAAUCCUGCAAAGUAAAUGCCUUCCUCUCAACUGGUUGAUGAUUUUUUACAAUCAGAAUCCAGACAAAAAUGAAACAUCUAUAAAAUUCUGGACAAGUAUCUACAAAGAUCUUGAAACUCUACUUGCAGAAACUCAAGAUUUUAUUCUCAAGCUAUCUGAAGCGAAUUGUCCUAGAUUGUCAAAGCUUUUCCAGUAUGCUUUACCGUACUUUUUAAAUGGUAUCAGUGGAUUUGCCCGGUCAGCCCAGUACCAAAGUGCAUAUACCUUAACUGUUUCAAUGUUGCAAAAUUUUGUUAAGCUACCAUCAAUAUUUUUGGAGGAAAACCUCACUGGAAAAUUAUUUGUCAAAGCACUGAGCCUUAUAAAUUGUUGCUGUUAUAAUUUAGGACAGUAUGCAACUCCUUUAAGCAUAAUAUCUGCAUGGGCUCUCAUUUUACCAAGUCAGAGAAAAACACUGUUUAGACUAUGGACUAAUUUUAAAUUGGAUGUUUUUCGGUCCAAGGAAAAGAAACUUGAAGCGUCUGUUUGGCACGUUUUGACUUUCAAUGCAAGUAGUAUCAAAAAGCUUUGGAAUGCACCCGACUUAUCUCCUGAAUGUGCAGGUUCAUUAUUAAUAGAGGAAAUGAAAGCUUACUGUAAACAUAAUUUACCGUAUUGUGAACCUUUCUUUGCUGUUUUUGAAGCAUGUCGGAAACUCAAAUUGUCACCUCAUCAGGAAGCCAUCAUUCUUUGCCUUUUGGUCCGUGCUCUUGCUCAUGAUGUAUCCUCCAUAAAGAAACUAGCACCCAUCUUGGACAAAGUGAAAGAAAUAGAGACCCAGUUAUGUGGGCUCAAGAAGAAAUCAGAAACUAAAGAAAAAUUGAAAAUCAACAUUCUUCUCGGCUGUUUAAUUGUAGCCAGGUCCUGUUGCUUAAUUCUGAAGAUUCGCAGUCAAAAUGAAGGAGAACUCAGCAGUCAAUGCAUGGUGGUAGAGCAACCAAAAAGUGAUGAACCAGGCACAGAAGUGAAUCCAAACGAUUCCUGCGCUGUAACCCCAUCAUUGUCUUUUAUGAAAAUAGAUAGCCACCAGCAGCUUUUUGAUUUGCUUGAUGAAGGCGUGAAGUACCUCAGCACUGCAGCAAGCACUAAAGUUUUAGAAAGUAUUUCAUUCGACAGUUGUUUAUAUUUUGACAGCUUAGUUGAUGCUGCUCAUAUCUAUAAGAUUUAUGGUUAUGAAAUUUCAGAAUACACCACCUGGGAGCUAGGGUUCAAAGUUUGCAGCACCUUAAAGCAAAACGAGGGCACAAUUAUAAGUAUGGCAAAUAUUCUUGGUUUAAGGUCAACUGUUAGUGCCAAGUGGUUGGCUCACACGGAAACGCUGGUGCAAGCCCUUGAUGAGAACGAAACUGCCCUGAAAUAUCAAUACUUCCUAGCCUGCAUCAGGAAUAAUUUCUUGAAGCAAGAGUAUGAUACAGUCAAUGAUUUGUUCCAACGUGUUGACACUAAAGAGCUCAAGAAAGCUCACAAACUACUUUACGCUGAAUAUUAUAUCCUUCUUAGCAAGUGUUUUUUCAACCCAGACAUUUCACCUAUCAACUGCGCCGUAGAAGCUUACAUAUGUCUGGCAGCUCAUGUGAAAAAGAAAGAUUGGAGUAAUUUCACAGAAAGCUGUAAGUUGAACUCUUUGCUGUUUGAGGCCACUCUAAAUAUCGGUGACAACUUUUUGGAUCUUAUGCUCCCCCGAGAGACGCGCUCUUGUUUGAAAGCACAACUGAGACUUGCUCAAAAACUCGCUUUACCAUUAAGGUUAGCCCAGGUUCUAGUCCAGCUAACAUGGGUGGAUAUAAUGUGCUGCAACAAAAACGAUGCAAAAUUAAAGAUUCAAACUUUGGAAGAAAUCCUACUGCUGCCUAUGCGUGUUUCCAACUUAGUUCCUGUAAAGACGGGAUCUCGGCGCACCAAGCUUAUCAAAGUAGAGCAGCCUGAUUUUCUGAAACAUGAAAAUUGCCAGUGCUUUGUGUGCGCCUCGUCACUGUGCCAGCAUGUCAUCUUAGAAACUAUACGUCUGCAAGCUGCCUUUACCAACUUAAACCCUGAGUUUCGGAACUACUGCAUGGAUUUCUUGAAAUGUGCUCAAAACAUGUUAUCCAAAAUCUGUCGGAAUAGGAAAGAAGAAUGGAUGCAACUUAGUGAAAUCAAGCUUUUCAUUCAGUAUAUCGAUUACCUGACUCUCGUCAAGAGCUUUAAAGAGGCGACCAAGAUAAGUGAGAAAAUAUCUGUGUUUGUCUCCUCGUUCCCUGAUGCUCACCCUUGCAAUAAAAUUCUGAAGCAGGACAUGUUUGAGCAAAUGGUGAGUCUGAACAGAGCUGAAACAGAGCAGUUGAAAACUGUCUAG
rnacentral:lncRNA from 1 species